rnacentral:rRNA from 1 species
GAUGAACGCUGGCGGCGUGCCUAAUACAUGCAAGUCGAGCGAACAGAUGAGGAGCUUGCUCCUCUGACGUUAGCGGCGGACGGGUGAGUAACACGUGGAUAACCUACCUAUAAGACUGGGAUAACUUCGGGAAACCGGAGCUAAUACCGGAUAAUAUAUUGAACCGCAUGGUUCAAUAGUGAAUGACGGUUUUGCUGUCACUUAUAGAUGGAUCCGCGCCGCAUUAGCUAGUUGGUAAGGUAACGGCUUACCAAGGCAACGAUGCGUAGCCGACCUGAGAGGGUGAUCGGCCACACUGGAACUGAGACACGGUCCAGACUCCUACGGGAGGCAGCAGUAGGGAAUCUUCCGCAAUGGGCGAAAGCCUGACGGAGCAACGCCGCGUGAGUGAUGAAGGUCUUCGGAUCGUAAAGCUCUGUUGUUAGGGAAGAAAAGAUGUGUAAGUAACUAUGCACGUCUUGACGGUACCUAAUCAGAAAGCCACGGCUAACUACGUG